rnacentral:rRNA from 1 species
CCUACGGGAGGCAGCAGUAGGGAAUCUUUCACAAUGGGCGAAAGCCUGAUGGAGCAACGCCGCGUGCAGGAUGAAGGCCUUCGGGUUGUAAACUGCUUUUAUAAGCGAGAAAUAUGAUGGUAACUUAUGAAUAAGGAUCGGCUAACUACGUGCCAGCAGCCGCGGUCAUACGUAGGAUCCGAGCAUUAUCCGGAGUGACUGGGUGUAAAGAGUUGCGUAGGUGGCAUAAUAAGUAGCUAGUGAAAUCUGGUGGCUCAACCAUUCAGACUAUUAGCUAAACUGUUAAGCUCGAGACCGUUAGGGGUAACUGGAAUUUCUAGUGUAGGAGUGAAAUCCGUAGAUAUUAGAAGGAACACCAAUAGCGUAGGCAGGUUGCUGGGAUGGUUCUGACACUAAGGCACGAAAGCGUAGGGAGCAAACGGGAUUAGAUACCCGAGUAGUC